rnacentral:rRNA from 1 species
GAUGAACGCUAGCGGCAGGCCUAAUACAUACAAGUCGGACGGGAUCCAUCGGAGAGCUUGCUCGAAGAUGGUGAGAGUGGCGCACGGGUGCGUAACGCGUGAGCAACCUACCUCUAUCAGGGGGAUAGCCUCUCGAAAGAGAGAUUAACACCGCAUAACAUCAACAGUUCGCAUGUCCGGUUGAUUAAAUAUUUAUAGGAUAGAGAUGGGCUCGCGUGACAUUAGCUAGUUGGUAGGGUAACGGCUUACCAAGGCGACGAUGUCUAGGGGCUCUGAGAGGAGAAUCCCCCACACCGGUACUGAGACACGGACCAGACUCCUACGGGAGGCAGCAGUAAGGAAUAUUGGUCAAUGGGCGGAAGCCUGAACCAGCCAUGCCGCGUGCAGGACGACUGCCCUAUGGGUUGUAAACUGCUUUUGUCCAGGAAUAAACCUAAAUACGUGUAUUUAGCUGAAUGUACUGGAAGAAUGAGGAUCGGCUAACUCCGUGCCAGCAGCCGCAGUAACAC